rnacentral:rRNA from 1 species
UACAGAGGGUGCAAGCGUUGUCCGGAAUUAUUGGGCGUAAAGAGCGUGUAGGCGGCCCGAUUAGUCCGCUGUGAAAGUCCAGGGCUCAACCCUGGAAUGCCGGUGGAUACUGUCGGGCUAGAGUCCGGAAGGGGCGAGUGGAAUUCCUGGUGUAGCGGUGAAAUGCGGCAGAUAUCAGGAGGAACACCAAUGGGCGAAGGCAGCUCGCUGGGACGUGACUGACGCUGGAGACGGCGAAAAGCCCAGGGGAGCGAACGGGG